AUAUUUAUUUAUGUCUUUCUGAUUAAUAAAAUUGAGUUGAAACCUUAUCUGUUCUUAUCAGUUUAAUAUCUGAUACGUCCCCUAUCUGGGGACCAUAUAUUAAAUGGAUUUUUCGAACAGGGAGAUGGAAAAAGAGCUUGCUCUGUCCACUCCACGCAUUGACCUGGUAUUGCAGUACCUCCAGGACCGGUGCACCCUUU